AAACUUUCAACAACGGAUCUGUUGGUUAAGGCAGCGAUGAAGAACGCAGUGAAUGAAGAUAAGUAAUCUGAAUUUCAGAAUUCAGUGAAUCAUACAAUCUUUGAACGCACAUUGCGCCCGGCGGUAUUGUGAGGGGCACACUUCUUCCAUCGUCAUUU
rnacentral:rRNA from 1 species